rnacentral:lncRNA from 1 species
CUACCCAUUCACUCACCCACCCACCCAUUCAUCCAUCCAUCUACCCACCUGUCUGUCCAUCCAUCCAUCCAUUCACCCACCUACCUGUCUACCUACUCAUCUGUCCCUCCAUUCAUCCACUCACCCACCCAUCCACCGAUCCACCUACCAACUUGUCCAUCCACCCACCCACCUAUCCAUCCACUCAUCCAUCUAUCCAUUCAUCUACCCAUCUACUUUUCCAUCCAUCUAUUCAUUCAUGCAUCCAUCCACCUAUCCUUCUGUCUACUCAUCCAUUCACCCACCGACCCACCCAUCCAUAUAUCCAUCCAUCCACCCACACACCCACCCACUCAGCCAGCCAUCCCGUCCAUUCAUUCAUCCAUCCAUCCACCCCAUCCGGCCAUCCAUCUAUCCACCUACUCAUCUGUCCAUCCAUCUACCCAUCCAUCCACCCAUCUUCUUAUCUACCCAUCCAUCCAUCCGUCCAUUUUUAAUCACCUGCUCAAAGUGGAAAACCAACACGUGCCCCUAGGAACUCACAGUCCUGGUGGUGAGUAUCGGAAAGCACAGGGAAAGGAGUGCCUGACCUGGGAGAAUGGAGGUCAUGCUGAGUCUUCAGAGCAAAUAGGAAGUUCCUGGGUGGUUACGGGGGAGGGAAAGUCACGGCAGCAGGAGUAGCGCACACGUCACAUGCAUGUGACAGGGAGCAGUGCAGUGCAUUCAGGAAGCUCGGGGCUGUGUGGUGAGGACUCAGAACGCAGGGAGAAGGCGGCACAGGCCCAGAGGAUGAGGGGCUGUGGGUCAGAGAAUGGUGGGAACCUCCCCAAAUCCCAAGUUCCCCGAGGCCAGCCCAGGGCCAGCCUUGUGUGCGGGUGUUUCUGAGGAUGGUGCGUCUCUGCAUGAGCCUUGUGUGUCAUGUGCAAGAGUGUGUGUUGUGUCCUAUGCGUGGGAGGGAGCUGCCGGCGGUGCAUUUGUGGGGGCCGAGGGCCAGUCAGGAUGUGCCGUUAGAACCACGUGGCUCCUGAAAGCAAGCCCGUGAUACCAGAGAUACCUGGUAGUAGCAUCUAUAUCUGAUUAGCUGUACAUCUCUUGACAGUCUUUUUAAAAGCAUGAGUGAAGAAAGACAUAAACUUCCGGAUUUGCGUAAGUGAGCUUGCCAACUAAGGAAACACAUGAGUAUUAUCUGUAUCUUCAGGAGCACUUGAUUAGACUCCAGAAACAGAAACUGCAGCUGCUCCCACCACCCCCACCACCGCAGGCCCUCCCCGGGGCGCAGCCAACCACACAAGUGCAAGUGCAGCCAUCACCCCCCACCACAGCAGAGCCCCCAGCUCACCACGGUCACGGCCCCGAGACCCAGAGCCCUGUUGAUGGGCACCACCAUGGCCAACCUCCAGACUCGAGUUUCCACCUCCCACCUGCAAGGCCCAAGACUGAUGUCAGCGCUGACGUACCAGAUGGCCCAGGUUGCUGUGGCCACGCCUCCUGUGGUGUCUGUCCUGGCAGUUGUGGUGCUGUCAGCCAGGGUCACAGUGCUUCCAUCAACGCAACGGGAUCAGUGUUGUGAUAAGGCAGCUGCAAAAAGCGGCAGGUAGGCAGCCACCUUCGCCUCACCAAACUCGAAACAACUCACUUGAGUGAGUUGCAUCAAACCUUUCUAAAUUUCUCAUUCUAGAAGUUGCUGAG